CCUGAGUAUAAACAGGAGGUUAUUUGAAACACAUGGCCCUGGAAAAGACACAGGAGUAGAAGCUACAACAGCAGCAGCUGCAGCAGAAGCAGCAGCAGCAGCAGCAGCAGCAGCAGCAAACCCCCUGGCUUCCCUGUCCCUGAAAAGAAGGAGGAUCACCCUACUCUUCUUCUGGGACUCACUCUGAAUGGAGUAACCAUCUAUCAAAGAAGAAGAGCUAUCAGGAAUCCUAUAUCAGUGACCUGCUGGAGCUAAACCUGGACCUGGAAGCAAGCAGCAGGAACUCCCUGGCAGCCACCCAGAGACCUUCGCAGAACUGUGGGUCAUGCUAAUCAGAAUGAGGGUCCAGAGGUCACAUCCCAGGUUGGGGAGGCAGAGGACAACCACAUAGGUGACUGGUUUGUCUGCCUAGUCAUCUAGAAAGCUCAUGACUAGGUCACACAGUGACACCUGAGGCUGCACACUUGUGGAGCUGCUGGUUUUCAAGAAGUUAACUCCUCUCAAUGGAAUGAAGUUCCUAAGCUUCCUCUCCCGGUAUUGGCCAGGUGAAGUGAAGAUCCACUCCUGCAGGACAUUGUGGUAUAGGCAAGAGCUGUACAGCAGCCCCAUCUGUGCCAGCCAGCCUUGAAGGUGGCUUGCUAGCAUUCCAGCACCACCAGCCUUUGUCCAUGUCUGGGCAAGCAGUUGUUGGCCCUCAACCCUUCUUCCCACCAUAUCAUUCUGUUUUGUCUACCCACUGGUAGGAGAUGGGGAACCAGCUUUGACACUAGUCUGGGGCAAGGGGCAGGUCCUAUUCUUCCUGUCCCAGGCUCUCAGUUCCUGGGAUUCUCAGGAGCAAAAGUGUGAGAGAAACAAGAGUCAAUGUUAGCCGUG
rnacentral:lncRNA from 1 species